rnacentral:rRNA from 1 species
GACGAACGCUGGCGGCGUGCCUAACACAUGCAAGUCGAGCGAGUGAAUCACCUUCGGGAGUGAAGCUAGCGGCGGACGGGUGAGUAACACGUGGGCAACCUGCCUCAUAGAGGGGAAUAGCCUUCCGAAAGGGAGAUUAAUACCGCAUAAGAUUGUAGCUUCGCAUGAAGUAGCAAUUAAAGGAGCAAUCCGCUAUGAGAUGGGCCCGCGGCGCAUUAGCUAGUUGGUGAGGUAACGGCUCACCAAGGCGACGAUGCGUAGCCGACCUGAGAGGGUGAUCGGCCACAUUGGGACUGAGACACGGCCCAGACUCCUACGGGAGGCAGCAGUGGGGAAUAUUGCACAAUGGGGGAAACCCUGAUGCAGCAACGCCGCGUGAGUGAUGACGGCCUUCGGGUUGUAAAGCUCUGUCUUCAGGGACGAUAAUGACGGUACCUGAGGAGGAAGCCACGGCUAACUACGUGCCAGCCGCCGCCGUAAGAC